rnacentral:rRNA from 1 species
AACGCGAAGAACCUUACCUACCCUUGACAUGCUCGGAAUCUACUAGAGAUAGUGGAGUGCCUUCGGGAACCGAGACACAGGUGCUGCAUGGCUGUCGUCAGCUCGUGUCGUGAGAUGUUGGGUUAAGUCCCGUAACGAGCGCAACCCCUAUCCUUAGUUGCCAACAGGUAAAGCUGGGAACUCUAAGGAGACUGCCGGUGACAAGCCGGAGGAAGGUGGGGAUGAUGUCAAGUCCUCAUGGCCCUUACGGGUAGGGCUACACACGUGUUACAAUGGGCAGUACAAAGGGAAGCGAAGCCGCGAGGUGGAGCGAAUCUCAAUAAAGCUGUUCGUAGUCCGGAUUGGAGUCUGCAACUCGACUCCAUGAAGUUGGAAUCGCUAGUAAUCGCGGAUCAGAACGCCGCGGUGAAUACGUUCCCGGGCCUUGUACACACCGGUACUA